CCCAUCACCUCCCGCCUGACCUCCCUCGAGCUCCUGCCGCGCCUCCCGCGGGGCCCUCGCCUGCCAGUCCCCGCUCCUCCUCGUCGCCCUUUUGCCCUCCUUCACCGAGGCGUUAUUCCACGUCUCGCUCCGCUGCCUCCACCGCUUCCGCUUCCCCUGGCGCCCCCCUCCCGCCGCACCCUCCACUACUACCCCCGAGGAUCCUGAGCAGCUCUCCACCUCCCCCAAGGUCCCCGCGCCGUUCACUCGCGUCAUCAUCCCUGAUUCAAUUAUGGGGCGAGUGAGGCCUCAGUGAAAGAAUUUACUUGGCUUGAGUCAGGCCAAGCCAGUGCAACCAAAACUCCAUCUUUUGUCUCCUGGACCAUUCAAUUAUGGGGCUAGUUCUUCAUAUAAAGCCAUGCCAUGCCUUUGAGGCUAAUGCUACUGUCUGCCUCUCUCCUGUGAUUUCAGAUUGGUCCUAGAGACAUGGGCCUAAAGGUGUUUCAUUGGUUGAAUCGGAGGAUGCAUUCUAAUACUGAGUACUGCAGCAUCCAUGGUAGCAAAGCCAUGGAGGACAAGGACUCUGUGCCUCAUAGUGUGGUUGAGAAAGAUACUGAAGCCCUUCUGCUCCAUGAUGUGCUUCUUAAUGGUAUACUUGCAAUUGGCACACUUGGCCAUCACGUGGACUCACUUUGCCCUGUGGCUUGCAUUGAAGAAGAUGAUCUCUUUAUCAUGGAUGAUGAGAAAGCAAUUGUGGAAGAGAGAGAUGAUGAGGAACCCAGGAAUGAUCAGGUGAAAGAAGAUGUUGCAUUGGAAACAGAGCCAUGUGAACCAGUAUGGCCUAUUGUUGAGCCUGCUAAGAUGCAUUCAUUGUCAAUGAAAGAAGACAACUUUACAUGCUUUGUAGCAGAAGAAAUCCUGAUACGUGAGGUGGAAGAUGGGGGAGGUGCUAAUAUCCAGGAACGACCACUUCUGAUGUUAGAAAAGGUGGAGAAAGUAAGAACUACACUUGCUGAUUUAUUUGCAGCAGAAGUAUUCUCAUCAAGUUCUCCAAGGGAGUAUAGUUGCCAGGAUAUCAUUGACGUUGCUGUGGCAUCCACUUCAAAGCAUGCAUCAUGCAUGGAAAAGAUGCAUCAAAAGAAACCAAGGAAGCCAACACCAAAACCACUGAAAGCGACAAGAAAAUUAAGUCGGUAGGUCAUGAGGAAGAUGUUGGGGAAGAAGAUCCACCCAGAGCAGCUCAAUGGGCGUAGCAAUGCAGAGGGCCCCCUUACUGCAUGAUGUUUAUUCUUGCCGACAAAUUUGCUUCUCUAUUUGGUUACAUUGGAUCCCUAUGGCUCAGAUUCCUUGCCAGAGAGAAGCGUCCAUGGACAGUCGUCGACGAUGUGGAAGUUCCGUUUUUUGUUGUUGUGUUUUGUCGCCAGUGAAGCGUGCAUGAAUACCAACCAUUCUGCUUUCCCAUGUUCUCUUGCUUAUUUGCAUGUAUAAAUCAACUGUUGGGGUGUGUGUCUGUGAUCUUGUAAGCUGUCAUCAUCUGGCGCCACGGCCUGCGCUGCGCUGCACUGCACUGCCUUGUCGUCGCGGCAUGCCAAAUAUAUAUAUUCUUUAAUAAAAUAUCUGCUUUACGUUUGCA